rnacentral:rRNA from 1 species
CCUGACCUCAGAUCAGUCGUGAAUACCCGCUGAACUUAAGCAUAUCAAUAAGCGGAGGAAAAGAAACUAACCAGGAUUCCCUUGGUAGCGGCGAGUGAAGAGGGAAGAGCCCAGCACCGAAGCCUGCGGCAGUUUUGCUGUUAGGCAAUGUGGUGUGCGGGUCGGUUAGCGGGACCGUCACUCCACUCGAAGUCCAGCAUUGAGUAUGGUUAUCACUGGAUUUGGCCCAUAGAGGGUGAGAGGCCCGUACGAGUGGAGGUUCAGAUAUGUGCGACGGUUCACUAGGCCGGCCUCAGAGUCGGGUUGUUUGAGAUUGCAGCCCAAAGAGGGUGGUAAACUCCAUCCAAGGCUAAAUACUGGCACGAGUCCGAUAGCGAACAAGUACCGUGAGGGAAAGUUG